rnacentral:rRNA from 1 species
GGCUUAUUGAAUUAUAAUUUUAAGUCAAUCUGCCCAAUGAUGUAAUUUAAUGGCUGCAGUAUAACUGACUGUACAAAGGUAGCAUAAUCAAUUGUUUUUUAAUUAAAAACUGGUAUGAAAGAAUUAAUGAGAUAUAUACUGUCUCAUAUAUAUUCAAUAAACUUAAAUUUUUAGUAAAAAUGCUUAAAUUUUUUUAUGGGACGAUAAGACCCUAUAGAAUUUUAUAUUAAUAUUUCAAUUAUAAUUAAUUUUUAAUAUUAAUAUUUUAUUGGGAGGAUAGGUAAAUUUAUUAAACUUUAUUUUAAACUAAAACUUUAAUUCAAGAAUAUUUUUUGAUCUUAUAAUAAAAAUUAAAAGAAUAAAUUACCUUAGGGAUAACAGCGUAAUAUCUUUUUAAAGAUCAUAUUGAUAAAGAUGAUUGCGACCUCGAUGUUGAAUUAAGAUAAAUUUUAAAUGGAGAAAUUUAAUAAUUAAGUCUGUUCGACUUUUAAAAUCUUACAUGAUUUGAGUUCAAAUCGACGUAAGU